rnacentral:rRNA from 1 species
GGGCCCGCACAAGCGGUGGAGCAUGUGGCUUAAUUCGAAGCAACGCGAAGAACCUUAUCCAGGGUUUGACAUGCACGGAUCAACCCCAUGAAAGUGGGGCCACACCCGCAAGGGCGGAACGUGCACAGGUGCUGCAUGGCUGUCGUCAGCUCGUGCUGUGAAGUGUCGGGUUAAGUCCCUCAACGAGCGAAACCCCUGUCGCUAGUUGCCAGCAGGUAAAGCUGGGGACUCUAGCGAGACUGCCGGUGUCAAACCGGAGGAAGGUGGGGAUGACGUCAAGUCCUCAUGGCCUUUAUGCCCUGGGCUGCACACGUGCUACAAUGGUGGGUACAAACGAUGCAAGACCGCGAGGUGGAGCAAAUCGCCAAAACCCGCCCAGUUCGGAUUGCAGGCUGCAACUCGCCUGCAUGAAGUCGGAAUCGCUAGUAA